rnacentral:rRNA from 1 species
GCUAAGGUAGCAUAAUCAUUUGUUUCUUAAUUGGGAGCUGGCAUGAAUGGUUAAACUUGAUUUUUUGUUUGUUGAGCUUAACAGGAAAUUAAAGUUAAGGUAAUAAUUCUUUGAUUAUUUUAGGGGACGAUAAGACCCUAAAAGCUUAAUAAGUGUAUUGACUUAUAGUGUUAGAUAGAAGUUUAUUUUACUGGGGUGGUAUAAGUUAAUUUGCUAUAUAGUUUACAUAGGAUCCCUAAUAUUAGGAUAUAUUGGUUAAGUUACUUUAGGGAUAA